ensembl:lncRNA LINC01287 long intergenic non-protein coding RNA 1287
ACCCACUCCUCACCCAGCAUCCAUAAAAGCAUGCUGCACCUUUGGCACAGCGCGACUUCCCUGGCCCUCCCCCUGCGGACCAGUGAACCUCGCCCGAGGGCUCAAUAAAGAAGAUUUUUGCCCUCUUUUUCUCACCUCUCAGCCUUAUUGAUCCAUGGUGCCCUUCCAUUGCCUUUCAUUGGUGCCGAAACCCGGGAGGGGACACCUCCUAAGCCCCCCCAGAGGCUCAGGGGGACUCCCCUCCUGGUCGGAUCAGUCCUCUCCCUCAGUCAGGUCAGGCUUCUCCUCCACGGCCAUCUGUCCAUUUCGUCCGGUUACUUGCUGCCAGGUCGCAGUUGCUGCAGCUACUCCAGUCCAAUUCGGCCGACGCUAGUUGCCUGGCUGCAAUAUACCUUGGACAACCAAUCUCGCUGGCCCCCCAAAGGCACACUCGACUUCAAUAUCCUAAACGACCUUACCAAUUUUUGUCAGAGGCGAGGCAAAUAGUCAAAAAUCAAAUUUGUUCAAAGGUUCUGGGACCUCCGCUCUCGUCGGACCGCUGCCGCCAAGUGUUUUCGCUGGCACAAGUCCCUGUGGCUAGCCUUCCCCUUGAAGUCUGGCCAGCCUCUCUUGCCGUUAAUCCUGUCCGGGGCCCCCAUCUUAGUCUCUCUGCCGCCAUCUCCUUCUGCACUGCCGCCAUCUUACUACCUGCUUCCUCACUGCCGCCAUCUUACUUCCUUUUUUCUCUGCUGCCAUUUUAGUUCUUCUGCCACCAUUCGGCUGCCAUUUUAAUUCCCAUUAGUUCCCAUUUGUUCUUUUAACCCUGCCCAGCUAACUCCUUGGCUUCCAUCUUACCCGCAUUCUUAUUUCCACCUGCCUAUAGUGCCAUACCAGUCCACUGCAUCUACAACUCCUAACACAUUCGCUGCGGGCAGUGAUAUCCACUAAUCCUGGAUGAGGCAGCGGAGGGCCCCCAAACCCCUAUCCAGGACUUAGUAAAGCUGGCGUUCAAAGUUUUUAAUUCCUGAGAGGAGGCGGCUGAGGUACAACGACAGGCAAGCCUGAAACAAAAAGUUCAGCUCCAAACCCAAGCCCUGGCAGCUGCCCUGCAACCGGCAUUCCCUAAGAGCCGCGGCAGGAGAGGUAGAGGUACAAUCUCCCGGGCCCCGUCUGGCGUCUGCUUCAAGUGAGGCAACUCAGGACACUGGGCCAGCCGGUGCCCUAGCCAACAGCAACCGUCCUGCCCGCCUUGCAACUGUUUCAAGUGUGGCAAUCCAGGUCAUUGGGCAAAACAGUGCCCAAACCCCAAGCCGCCAACACACCCGUGCCCUAACUGCCAACAAAUGGAGCACUGGAGGUCAGACUGCCCCAGCCUCGGAGCGGCCGCUGUGGCUCCACAUGGCGACCCCUCCCUGGAUGGCGAAGGUGCCCUCUAGCUCCUCCAACUGGAUGACGACUGAAGAGGCCCAGGCUCGGGAACCCCUCUCACCCUUGCCGAGCCCAGGGUAAUGCUUCAGGUAGCGGAUCAACUGAGAUGCAAAACCCAUGUUCACAUCAUGAGUGAGUCUUCUAACUCGGACAAUGCAAUCAACAAAUUCUAAGACCAAAUUCCGGUGGCACUGGCUCCAAAGCUCCUGAGUGUGGAAGGAGGUGAACAGGGAAAAGCAGAGAGGACAAAAGUCACAUCCCCUCCCCACAGACCCAUACUGGGGAAGGGUGGAAGAUUUAGCUGCGAGUCAAGUUCAGAAUUUUGAUUAACAUCUUGGCAUGCACAUUCGAAUUUCAGAAUCAAGACUGUUGGCCAUAAAAAAUGACUAUAGCCUUGUGUAUUACCUGAACUGAGCAGUAAAAAAAAAGUCAUGGUCCUUCUGGGGCUUUUAUUCUGAGACAGGAACCCUGAACAGGCAGGAGAAAGGGAAUGUUGACAGAGAAACAAAGACAGUUGGCGACACACGCUGACCGCCAUGCGGACGUCCAUCAAACCCAGCACUGGCCCUGGGUACGUGCGCCUUUGCUAUUACCCCAAUACAUUUUCUUCUGCAGAGCAAGCAACAGAACACAUGCAGACCUUAAUAAAUACCACUGGGUAAUGUGACAAUGGCCAAACUCUCCUCACGGGGGAGAGAGUGUCCCCCAGUUUUGCUCCCUUUUAAUUUCCAGGGUUCAUAAGUAGCUCUAAAGCUUUGCUCUACAAGGUUGAUACAUACGAUAUUAAUGUUUCCCCUAAGCAGUAUAACAUAAAUAUAUUUGCUAUCUUGACAUUCUGGGUUUGGUUUUUCAGUGUUGGCGUAAGUGGGUUUUAUACUUUCUGGAACAAGAGUUCAUCACCAAAGGGAAAA